rnacentral:lncRNA from 1 species
GCAAGCUCAUUGUCUUCUCUUCACUAAACUUUAGUUAGUAGUUGGUCCCAGUCAGUAACACUCUGGGAGGGCUCAGGCCACAUCACGAAAUGUGACAGGAUAGCCUUGAACUCAUCAAUUGCUGGGGGCACCUCAAACUCAACUCCAAAAUUGAUCUAAUGAACUUUCCCAAACCACAUUCCCUUCUUGCAUUUCUGAGAGAAUGGAUUCCCAUUCAUCUGACUACAGUGCUACCCUGAAAGCAGAUCCAGAGACUAAGAUUCACCUGCAGGUGAUUCAUUUGCAAGGUAAGCUGUCAUCAGUUGGAGGUAAGCGGAAGACAGUAGAGAGUACAGAGCCCUGGACUGUGACUCAGAGGAUGAGCACCAGAUCCAGUUUGCUGUGCCACAGUGUGGAUUUUUAUCUGAGAUCUACAACUUAUGAAGAAUACAAAUGAUGUAUAUUCUUUUCUACUCUUCAUGUAUGGACUAGAGGGGCUUGCACAGUAGUAAGAAAAAAAUGGCUGAGACCCACAGGAACAAAGAAACAGGACAGGAGUUAGAUGCAGAGAAGAGAUUUCAACAAAAGUUUGGAAAAGAUGCUAACGGUAGCAUAUGAGUCACAGACAGAACAUUGGCACCUUUGUUUAAGAAACUGAAUGUUAAUGUCACAUCUGCCUUUGGAGAUUACAAAUGAAAUGGCUACCUUUCUACUGGAACCCUGACCAGAAGUCUGCCAGUUAGUAAGCUGGCUUAAGAGAUCAAUCUAAAAUUUACAUAAGGCUUUUGAAAAAAAGAAAAAAGAACCCAAAGGCACAGAUUGACGUUAUAAGUCCUGAUUUUUGACUUGACUUCUCAUCACCUGGAAGUGAAUAAAGCAGUAGACUUCUCUAACAUUUUGUAACACAGCAUGAAAAAAUAUAGAGUACAAAAGAUAUAUAUAUAUAAUAUGAUAAAAUGAUGAGUUACGUUUCUAAA